AAGUUGCCAAGUUUGGGGACCUCGGUUAAAAGUAUGUAAGUUGUCAUAAAGGAUGAUUGUCGGUCACUAUUCAUCUUGCCUGUUGAGUCUCUCAGAAGUUUUAGUUCCUAAGAUAUUUUGUAACAAUCACAGUGCAUACACAGAGGGGCUGUAUGCAUAAUCACUAAAGAAACACCAAACUCAUUAGGUCUGCAUAAUCUAAAAUGAGGUUUCAUUUCAGAGGCACUAGAAUAAUUUUUCUAAAUACACUGUUAAAAUAUCCUUGAAUAUAUAUGUUUCUUGCUAAAAUAUUAGAGCAAGGGACUAUUAAAGCAGGUUCCUUGCAGAAAUCAUUGUCCUUCAAUCAGUAAUGUAAUUAUACAAUAUUAAAAGGAAAAAAUAAUGCACAUUUCCUCUGUAUAGUUCAUAGCACUGACAUUCAGCUGUUUCUGCAGAUUCUUGUAAAAAAAAGUUAUGUCUAUAUGAACUGGGGGGUGGGGGGGGAUAGCUAAGUUAAUUUACUUUUGUUGUGUUUAUAAAAACACCAUUUUGUGACAAAAGUGGGCUUCUGACCAGGUCUCUUGUUUUUUGAGUCCCAAAUCUUAACUUGAAAAACAACUACAUGUUGAUCCAUUGCUGAUUUUGUGGUAUCAAUUUAUGCCACAAAAUAAAUUUGGUGCAGGUAUGUUACAGAAAAUGUUAAAAUAAUGCAAAUACUGAAACGAUGCACAUAAUGAAACUGGAAGACUUUAUACCAAUUAUAAAUAUUGAAGUAUUUUAGUAUAAUAACCCCCAUCCCAUGGGCCAACAUGACAGCAUGAAUAAAGUCAGAUAUCUGAAGAGUGAUAGCAUGUGUAUAUUGAUAACAUGUCUUAACUCCUAACUCCAUUAUACCUGGUGAAAGUAGUUGGUGGGACUUGUUACAAGAAUUUAAUAUGCCCAUCCAGAAGGGAAACUUCCGGGUUUCAAAUAAUUUUAAGCUUCAGUUAUAGUAAAUUGUGCAUGGGUCCAUAACAUUCUAAGAUUGUUAUGUUGAGGUGGAAGUGGCUACAGCUGAAUCUUCCAUGUUCUAUAUUAAGACCCAAUGUAGAGACAACUUCUUGCAGGAAGUCCUUGACUUAGGAGCAGAAUUUCCAUCACUAAGCAAGAUGGCUGUUAAAUGAGUUGCACCCAAUACUACCACCUUUUUUGCCAGGGUUAAAUGAUUGUAGUUUUAAGUGAAUUUUUUGGUUGUUAAAUCUGGCUACUCCCCUGACAGCUUAUCAGAAGCUAGUUGGGAAGGUUGCAAAUGGCAAUCCCGUAACCCUCAGACGCUACCAUCAUAAAUGCUAGUUGCCAAGCACCAGAAUUUUCAUCGUGAUGGGAUACUGCCUUGGUUGUAAGUGCGAGGAGUUGUCUCCAGUCACAUUUUCAGUGCCAUUUUAAUUUUGAAUGGUCACUAAGUGAGUGGUUGUAAGUCGAGAGCUGUCUAGUUCUAAAGUGAACUUGCUGAUCUUUUUGAUUUUUGUCUUGAGCGCGUAGAGUUGCCUUGGACUGUGAGCUGGGCAGCAAAUAAAUUUGAUAAUGAUCCUGUCCUUGGAACCUGGGCGAACAUAGUGUAAUGUUUAAUAUAAAUUAUCCCCAGGAUAAUGAGAAUUCACCUGGAAGGCUCCCUUAUCAAAAUACUAUCACCCAAUGAAUACUGAAUUAGAAUUGUAACCUGGCUUUAUUUGGCAGGUGGAGGGGGCACCUCUGGAUCCUGGAAGAAAGUUUACCUCAAGGCUGGAGUUGAAAACAGACUUUCUCUUUGGAAUGAGCCAGCAGGUGUCAAGUGCGGGAAAUCAGGAUUCCGGGCAGUUCAAAAGAAUAUGUAGGCUUAUUGCAUGCUAAAGCUCUUUACAAGAGCUCUGAAUUAACAGUCAAAGCGAAUUGGCAGUAGAUAAGAGUCAACGGAAUUCAAGGUGGGCUGGACUUAAAUCUUGUGGGCGUGAAGGGACUCGAGACUGAUGGCAUGUUUGGCCCCUCGAGCUCAGCCUGGUCAUCUACAGUGGAAGAUCCCAAGAGGAGCUACUGUCACAAGAACCUUUUAAGGAUUAUAUCCUCAUAGUGUCCAAAUUACAAGGCAGAAGACCAAGAGCUGCAUUCAAUUGGCCAGAGUACCAUGAAAUAGAAUAAUGGUCCUAAAUCAUAGAAUACAGAUUACAAUUGAAUGUUGGGGGCUGAUGAGCAGGGUGGGAAAAGAGAGGGAUAGGAACAAUUUAAUGAAUCCAGGUAAUGAUUCCUCUUCACUGGAUCCUGGCAAGCAGUAAUGAGACUCCUUUCUGGCAUGCUUUAAUGUAUUCUCAGUCUGAAAGGUUGUAUUUAAAAGCCUAAGUAGUCCCUUUCAGCAUGACUAUUCUAUGAAUUCUAGGACAAAGACUGGCAUAAUAUUACUAAUGUAUAGUAAUAGUUGGGCUCAGUGUUUCUCAGGCAAGAAAAUACUUCGUUUUAUAUCAAAAUUUGGUUUUUUAUCACAUAAAUAGUGGCAAAGCAAGAUUGAGCAUUGUAUUAAGAAAGGUGGCUUCGUUUUAAACUUCUGAGAUGGGAAGCAGAAUGUGUGUGUGUGUGUGUGGAUUUUUUAGUGCCCUCAAAAUAAAUUUUGAGCAUUUGGACCAGAUCAUAAAAGUGUUGCAAGGAUAUAUAUUUUAAAAUAAAUUUAUUCUAGAAGUCA